GCGAUACAGGGUGACAGCCCCGUACACAAAAAUGCACAUACUGUGAGCUCGAUGAGUAGGGCGGGACACGUGGUAUCCUGUCUGAAUAUGGGGGGACCAUCCUCCAAGGCUAAAUACUCCUGACUGACCGAUAGUGAACCAGUACCGUGAGGGAAAGGCGAAAAGAACCCCGGCGAGGGGAGUGAAAAAGAACCUGAAACCGUGUACGUACAAGCAGUGGGAGCACAGAGCAAUCUGUGUGACUGCGUACCUUUUGUAUAAUGGGUCAGCGACUUAUAUUCUGUAGCAAGGUUAACCGAAUAGGGGAGCCGAAGGGAAACCGAGUCUUAACUGGGCGUUAAGUUGCAGGGUAUAGACCCGAAACCCGGUGAUCUAGCCAUGGGCAGGUUGAAGGUUGGGUAACACUAACUGGAGGACCGAACCGACUAAUGUUGAAAAAUUAGCGGAUGACUUGUGGCUGGGGGUGAAAGGCCAAUCAAACCGGGAGAUAGCUGGUUCUCCCCGAAAGCUAUUUAGGUAGCGCCUCGUGAAUUCAUCUCCGGGGGUAGAGCACUGUUUCGGCAAGGGGGUCAUCCCGACUUACCAACCCGAUGCAAACUGCGAAUACCGGAGAAUGUUAUCACGGGAGACACACGGCGGGUGCUAACGUCCGUCGUGAAGAGGGAAACAACCCAGACCGCCAGCUAAGGUCCCAAAGUCAUGGUUAAGUGGGAAACGAUGUGGGAAGGCCCAGACAGCCAGGAUGUUGGCUUAGAAGCAGCCAUCAUUUAAAGAAAGCGUAAUAGCUCACUGGUCGAGUCGGCCUGCGCGGAAGAUGUAACGGGGCUAAACCAUGCACCGAAGCUGCGGCAGCGACGCUUAUGCGUUGUUGGGUAGGGGAGCGUUCUGUAAGCCUGCGAAGGUGUGCUGUGAGGCAUGCUGGAGGUAUCAGAAGUGCGAAUGCUGACAUAAGUAACGAUAAAGCGGGUGAAAAGCCCGCUCGCCGGAAGACCAAGGGUUCCUGUCCAACGUUAAUCGGGGCAGGGUGAGUCGACCCCUAAGGCGAGGCCGAAAGGCGUAGUCGAUGGGAAACAGGUUAAUAUUCCUGUACUUGGUGUUACUGCGAAGGGGGGACGGAGAAGGCUAUGUUGGCCGGGCGACGGUUGUCCCGGUUUAAGCGUGUAGGCUGGU
rnacentral:rRNA from 1 species